rnacentral:rRNA from 1 species
AGAACGAACGCUGGCGGCGUGGAUAAGACAUGCAAGUCGAACGGAGAUUCUUUAGAGCUUGCUUUAAAGGGUCUUAGUGGCGAACGGGUGAGUAACACGUGAGUUACCUGCCCCGAAGUGGGAGAUAGCCCGGAGAAAUUCGGAUUAAUACCCCAUGUGAUCGUAAGAUUAAAGGCGGCGCAAGCUGUCGCUUCGGGAUGGGCUCGCGGCCUAUCAGCUAGUUGGCGGGGUAACGGCCCACCAAGGCGAUGGACGGGUAGCUGAUCUGAGAGGAUGAUCAGUCACACUGGAACUGAGACACGGUCCAGACACCGUACGGGUGCAGCAGUCGAGAAUCAUUCGCAAGU